rnacentral:rRNA from 1 species
UACACAUGCAGUCGAGCGGGGGAAGGUAGCUUGCUACUGGACCUAGCGGCGGANGGGUGAGUAAUGCUUAGGAAUCUGCCUAUUAGUGGGGGACAACAUUCCGAAAGAAUGCUAAUACCGCAUACGUCCUACGGGAGAAAGCAGGGGACCUUCGGGCCUUGCGCUAAUAGAUGAGCCUAAGUCGGAUUAGCUAGUUGGUGGGGUAAAGGCCUACCAAGGCGACGAUCUGUAGCGGGUCUGAGAGGAUGAUCCGCCACACUGGGACUGAGACACGGCCCAGACUCCUACGGGAGGCAGCAGUGGGGAAUAUUGGACAAUGGGGGGAACCCUGAUCCAGCCAUGCCGCGUGUGUGAAGAAGGCCUUAUGGUUGUAAAGCACUUUAAGCGAGGAGGAGGCUACUAGUAUUAAUACUACUGGAUAGUGGACGUUACUCGCAGAAUAAGCACCGGCUAACUCUGUGCCAGCAGCCGCGGUAAUACAGAGGGUGCGAGCGUUAAUCGGAUUUACUGGGCGUAAAGCGUGCGU